rnacentral:rRNA from 1 species
UACAGAGGUCUCAACCGUUGUUCGGAUUCAUUGGGCGUAAAGGGUGCGUAGGCGGUCGCGUAAGUCAGGUGUGAAAUCUCAGGGCUCAACCCUGAAACUGCACUUGAUACUGCGUGGCUCGGGUACUGGAGAGGAGACUGGAAUUUACGGUGUAGCAGUGAAAUGCGUAGAUAUCGUAAGGAAGACCAGUGGCGAAGGCGAGUCUCUGGACAGUUACCGACGCUGAGGCACGAAGGUCAGGGGAGCAAACGGGAUUAGA